rnacentral:rRNA from 1 species
UGGGGAAUAUUGCACAAUGGGCGCAAGCCUGAUGCAGCCAUGCCGCGUGUGUGAAGAAGGCCUUCGGGUUGUAAAGCACUUUCAGCGGGGAGGAAGGCGGUGAGGUUAAUAACCUCACCGAUUGACGUUACCCGCAGAAGAAGCACCGGCUAACUCCGUGCCAGCAGCCGCGGUAAUACGGAGGGUGCAAGCGUUAAUCGGAAUUACUGGGCGUAAAGCGCACGCAGGCGGUCUGUCAAGUCGGUUGUGAAAUCCCCGGGCUCAACCUGGGAACGGCAUUCGAAACUGGCAGGCUAGAGUCUUGUAGAGGGGGGUAGAAUUCCAGGUGUGGCGGUGAAAUGCGUAGAGAUCUGGAGGAAUACCGGUGGCGAAGGCGGCCCCCUGGACAAAGACUGACGCUCAGGUGCGAAAGCGUGGGGAGCAAACAGG